GUACACACCGCCCGUCACACCAUGGGAGUGGGUUGCACCAGAAGCCGGUAGUCUAACCUUCGGGAGGGCGCCGACCACGGUAGGGUCAGCGACUGGGGUGAAGUCGUAACAAGGUAGCCGUAGGUGAACCUGCAGAAGGAUCA
rnacentral:rRNA from 1 species